AAUAUGGGUCAAUGGAGGCAACUCUGAACAAGCCAAAUCGCGUGAAGGAGGAAGGGCUUAUGGAUUGUAAACUUCUCUUGCAAGGGAAUAAAGUGGGGGACGUGUCUACCAUUGCAUGUACCUUGCGAAUAAGGAACGGCUAACUCCGUACAAGCAGCCGCGGUAAUACGGAGGAUCCGAGCGUUAUCCGGAUUUAUUGGGUUUAAAGGGUGCGCAGGCGGGAUGUUAAGUCGGCGGUGAAAUUUUGCAGCUCAACUGUAUAAGUGCCUUCGAUACUGGCUUUCUUGAGUGUGGAUGAAGUAGGCGAAAUUUGUGGUGUAGCGGUGAAAUGCUUAGAUAUCACGAGGAACUCCGAUUGCGCAGGCAGCUUACUAAACCACUACUGACGCUCAUGCACGAAGGCGUGGGGAUCAAACAGA
rnacentral:rRNA from 1 species